rnacentral:sRNA from 1 species
AAAAAUCUGUAAAGCCACGUUACCAUGAGCACGCAGAGAACCUUUUCUGGAGAUUGAAAGGAAGUUGAAGAGCUGGGUUAGCUAUCAUCGUAAACUAUCAUCGUUAGUGAUGGCGUAAACCUGGUGCAUAUAAAAGUUAUGUUGGGCCAGCAUGGUGGCUCAGGCCUAUAAUCUCAGCACUUUGGGAGGCUGAGGCAGGUGGAUUGUUUGAGCUCAGGAGUUUGAGACCAACCUGGGUAACAUGCAGAAGCCAGAGAAUAUCAUCUAAAUAUUGACAUUUCAAGAAACUGGAUAUAAAUGCAACCAAAGUGAGAUAUGAAACAAUCCAGUGAGGAGAAUAAGAAACCUGCCUAAAAAUGAAUUUUGAAAAGCUUGUUUCAGGCAAGACAUCAGAGAGAAAUGGUGUGUGCUGUUGGCUUUAUCUGUCUUGACUCUGCAAGCACAUCUACCCCUUACCUGCGGCUUCUCCCUGCCUCAGGGCUAUGUGGACGGGGGAGAGGUGACAGGUGGGAGAUGGAGAACCAAGAGGAAAUGGAAGGUUGCACGGACAAAGGUGGUAACAGUGGUAGU